GGGCAGUCUACAGAUCAGGUAAGUGAGGGAUUGGGGGGCAGCCUACAGAUCAGGUAAGUGAGGGAUGGGGGCAGUCUACAGAUCAGAUAAGUGAGGGAUGGUGGGCAUCCUACAGAUCAGUUAAGUGAGGGAUGGGCGUAUCCUACAGAUCAGGUAAGUGAGUGAUUGGGGGCCAGUCUACAGAUCAGGUAAGUGAGGGAUGGGGGACCAGUCUACAGAUCAGGUAAGUGAGGGACGGGGGGCAGCCUACAGAUCAGAUAAGUGAGGGAUGGGGGGCAGCCUACAGGUCAGAUAAGUGAGACAUGGGAGGGGGCAGCCUACAGAUCAGGUAAGUGAGACAUAGGGAGGACAGCCUACAGAUCAGGUAAGUGAGGGAUUGGGGCAGCCUACAGAUCAGGUAAGUGAGGGAUGGGGUGACAGUCUACAAAUCAGGUAAGUGAGGGAUGGGGGAAGCCUACAGAUUAGGUAAGUGAGGGCUGGGGGCAGCCUACAGAUCAGGUAAGUGAGGGAUGGGGGGAGACAGCCUACAGGAAGGUAAAGUAGAAGGAGCAGAAAUGAGAAGAAAGGUUCUGCAAGGGGCAGGAGGGGUCAGCAAGGAAUAGGAAGGAACAGGAAGUGGCAGCAAGAAGCAGGAAGGGGUAUGAAAGGUUUGCAAGGAGCAGGAGGGUGAAGUAGAAGGAGCAGAAAUGAACAGGAAGGGGCAGCAAGGAGCAGGAAGGGUCAGAAAGGAGCAGGAGGGGUCAGCAAGGAGCAUGAAGGGGCAGCAAGGAGAAAGAAGGGGCAGCAAGGAGCUGGAAGAGGCAGAAGGAAUCAGAAGGAGCACAAAGGUAAAGGAGCAGAAAGAAUCAGAAGGAGCACAAAGGUAAAGUAGGAGAAGGAACAGAAAGGGUCCACAAUGAACAGAAAGGGUCUACAUGGAACAGAAAGGGUCAGCAAAGAGCUGGAAGGGGCAGAAAGAAGCGGGAAAGGGAAGCAUGAAGGAGAAAGGGUCUGCAAUGAGCAGAAAUGAGCAGGAAGGGAAAUCAAGGAGCAGAAAGGGUCAACAAUUAUCUGGAAAGGGCAGAAGGAGCACAAAGUAGGAAAAGGAACAGAAAUGAGCAGCAAGGAGCAGGAAGGGUCUGCAAGAAGCAGGAGGGCGCAGAAAGGGGCAGCAAGGAGCAGGAAGGGGCUGCAAGGAGAAGGAAGGGUCUGCAAGGAGCAGAAAGGGAGCAGAAAGAGAAAGGAGCAGAAGGGCGUAAAAUAGGCAGAAAGUAGCAGAAAGGUAAUGGAGCAGAAGGUGCCAACGAGGAGAGAAGACCGUGUCAGAAGAAAAAGAAGACUGUGUCAAAUGAAGGAGAAGAAAAUGAGAUAAGAGCAGGAAGGACAAGUGAAGUGAUC